AUUUAAAAGUUUGUUUUAUUUAUUGUACCUUGUGUAUCAGGGUUUAUUUAAAUUAAUAUAUUUAUUUUAUUAGUCUCGAUUUUAAGAGAGUUAAGGGUUUAUAAUGUUUAUUGUAUAAUAAAUAUUUUUAUUAUAUAUUGCACUGCCUUCCCUCAACAAUCGAGGGGUGCCCAAUGACAAAGGGUACCAAUACACACAGAAAUUUUUGAGAAAAAAAAAAGAGAUUGAAAGUAAAAUAGUAGACAACAAAUAACAUAUAAAUUUAUGCUUGGUAGGCGUGAUUUCUAAAAAUGGCAAUUGAGCCCUUUUGGUGAUGAAAAGUCAAUCGUUCUUAAUUAUUUCUAGUUAACUUAGAAAUGAAUUUAAUUCAUGCAUUAUUUAUUGUAAAUUUUAUUUUUGAAUUUUCUUUAAUUUUUGAUAAUAAAUUGGGGGAUAAGCUCUAAUUUAGAUAUUUAUAAAUUUAUUUGUGUUUUAUAGUUUAGUGGAUUUAAAGAUGAUUAUUUUUAAAAGUAUGUUCAAAUUUUAUUGUUUUGUUUUUUCAUUUUUGUUUAUUUUAAUUUUUUUAUUGGUUUAUUUUAUUUAACUUUUGUUUAUUAGAAAUUAUGAUAUAAUUAGUAUAUUUGUGUUAUUGUCUGUAUUUUGUUUUUGUAAGAUAUUUAUAAGGAAUUAGGCAAAAUUCUUUUGUUCGCCUGUUUAACAAAAACAUCUCUUCUUGAUUAUUUAAGUAUAACCUGCCCACUGAUUGUAAUUGAAGGGCCGCGGUAUUUUGACCGUGCAAAGGUAGCAUAAUCAUUAGUCUUUUAAUUGAAGGCUGGAAUGAAUGGUUGGACGAGAUAAAUACUGUCUUAUUUGUAAUUAUUGAAUUUAAUUUUUAAGUUAAAAAGCUUAAAUUAUUUUUUGGGACGAGAAGACCCUAUAGAGUUUAAUAUUUAAUAGAUUAUUGUUUGUUUGUUAUUGAUUUAUAGUUAUUGUUUAUUUUAUUGGGGUGAUAGAAAGAUUAAAUAAACUCUUUUUGUUUUUAUUUAUUAAUUUAUAUGUAAUUGAUCCAUAAUUUGUGAUUAUAAGAUUAAAUUACCUUAGGGAUAACAGCGUAAUCUUUUUUGAGAGUUCGUAUCGACAAAAAGGGUUGCGACCUCGAUGUUGGAUUAAGAUAUAAAUUGGAUGUAGAAGUUCAUUAUUUGGAUCUGUUCGAUCCUUGGAAUCUUACAUGAUCUGAGUUCAAACCGGCGUGAGCCAGGUUGGUUUCUAUCUAGAAAUUUAUUUUAUGUCUUAGUACGAAAGGACCAGAUAUUGGAAAUAAUUUUUUAUUAUUGAAUUUUAUUAAGUUACUAUUUUGGCAGAUUAGUGCGGUGGAUUUAGAAUCUAUU
rnacentral:rRNA from 1 species